GUACCACAUAUUUUAAAAUGUAUGCGAAACAAUCUUUUGAAAAAUACAUACUUUCAGUUUCCUGAAGGAAGGGUAGAAUUACAGCAUUUUAAAGCAGUUGUUGAUGAAGAUUCCAAAUUACCAAAGGGAUUAAAGGCAUGUCCCAAA